GCGAUCGGUGGUUCAGUGGUAGAAUCCGCGCGCCUGCUUCGCGGGUGGCCCGGGUCGAUUUCCGGCCGAUGUA
rnacentral:tRNA from 1 species